AUAUGUUACAGCUCUUUUAGAAUUUUCUAGCAGGUUUUCCAGUCUUCGUUGGAAAACUCAU
rnacentral:snRNA from 1 species